GGGCCCGCACAAGCAGUGGAGUAUGUGGUUUAAUUCGAAGCAACGCGAAGAACCUUACCAGGUCUUGACAUCCUACGAAUAGUAUAGAGAUAUGCUAGUCUUUCGGGACGUAGAGACAGGUGGUGCAUGGUUGUCGUCAGCUCGUGUCGUGAGAUGUUGGGUUAAGUCCCGCAACGAGCGCAACCCCUGUUGUUAGUUGCCAUCAUUUAGUUGGGCACUCUAGCGAGACUGCCGGCGACAAGUCGGAGGAAGGUGGGGACGACGUCAAAUCAUCAUGCCCCUUAUGACCUGGGCUACACACGUACUACAAUGGCCGCUACAGAGGGAAGCGAAAUGGCAACAUGGAGCAAAUCCCCAAAGGCGGUCCCAGUUCAGAUUGUGGGCUGAAACCCGCCCACAUGAAGUCGGAAUUGCUAGUAAUGGCAGGUCAGCAUACUGCCGUGAAUACGUUCCCGGGCCUU
rnacentral:rRNA from 1 species